rnacentral:misc_RNA from 1 species
UGGUCUUGACAUCCACGGAAGUCUGCAGAGAUGCGGAUGUGCCUUCGGGAACCGUGAGACAGGUGCUGCAUGGCUGUCGUCAGCUCGUGUCGUGAGAUGUUGGGUUAAGUCCCGCAACGAGCGCAACCCUUGUCCUUAGUUGCCAGCGAGUAAAGUCGGGAACUCUAAGGAGACUGCCGGUGACAAACCGGAGGAAGGUGGGGAUGACGUUUCCAGGUUAGG